rnacentral:rRNA from 1 species
UACGUAGGGGGCAAGCGUUGUCCGGAUUUAUUGGGCGUAAAGAGCGUGUAGGCGGCUAGGUAGGUCCGUUGUGAAAACUCGAGGCUCAACCUCGAGACGUCGAUGGAAACCAUCUAGCUAGAGUCCGGAAGAGGAGAGUGGAAUUCCUGGUGUAGCGGUGAAAUGCGCAGAUAUCAGGAGGAACACCAAUUGCGAAGGCAGCUCGCUGGGACGUUACUGACGCUGAGACGCGAAAAGCGUGGGGGAGCAAACAGG